rnacentral:rRNA from 1 species
UUAAGCGACUAAGCGUACACGGUGGAUGCCCUGGCAGUCAGAGGCGAUGAAGGGCGUGCUAAUCUGCGAUAAGCGCCGGUAAGGUGAUAUGAACCGUUAUAACCGGCGAUACCCGAAUGGGGAAACCCAGUGUGAUUCGUCACACUAUCAUUAACUGAAUCCAUAGGUUAAUGAGGCGAACCGGGGGAACUGAAACAUCUAAGUACCCCGAGGAAAAGAAAUCAACCGAGAUUCCCCCAGUAGCGGCGAGCGAACGGGGAGGAGCCCAGAGCCUGAAUCAGCAUGUGUGUUAGUGGAAGCGUCUGGAAAGGCGCGCGAUACAGGGUGACAGCCCCGUACACAAAAGCGCAUAUGCUGUGAGCUCGAUGAGUAGGGCGGGACACGUGGUAUCCUGUCUGAAUAUGGGGGGACCAUCCUCCAAGGCUAAAUACUCCUGACUGACCGAUAGUGAACCAGUACCGUGAGGGAAAGGCGAAAAGAACCCCGGCGAGGGGAGUGAAAAAGAACCUGAAACCGUGUACGUACAAGCAGUGGGAGCCCCACCACUAAGCCAGUGGUGAACUCCACAUACGCAUCCUUUGCUGAGGAGACGGUUAACGGAGCGAAAGCGACGUUCAACCUCAAAAGAAGCAGAGGGGGCUUAGUGGUGGGGUGACUGCGUACCUUUUGUAUAAUGGGUCAGCGACUUAUAUUCUGUAGCAAGGUUAACUGUAUAGGGGAGCCGGAGGGAAACCGAGUCUUAACCGGGCGUUAAGUUGCAGGGUAUAGACCCGAAACCCGGUGAUCUAGCCAUGGGCAGGUUGAAGGUUGGGUAACACUAACUGGAGGACCGAACCGACUAAUGUUGAAAAAUUAGCGGAUGACCUGUGGCUGGGGGUGAAAGGCCAAUCAAACCGGGAGAUAGCUGGUUCUCCCCGAAAGCUAUUUAGGUAGCGCCUCGUGAAUUCAUCUCCGGGGGUAGAGCACUGUUUCGGCUAGGGGGCCAUCCCGGCUUACCAACCCGAUGCAAACUGCGAAUACCGGAGAAUGUUAUCACGGGAGACACACGGCGGGUGCUAAUGUCCGUCGUGAAGAGGGAAACAACCCAGACCGCCAGCUAAGGUCCCAAAGUCAUGGUUAAGUGGGAAACGAUGUGGGAAGGCCCAGACAGCCAGGAUGUUGGCUUAGAAGCAGCCAUCAUUUAAAGAAAGCGUAAUAGCUCACUGGUCGAGUCGGCCUGCGCGGAAGAUGUAACGGGGCUAAACCAUGCACCGAAGCUGCGGCAGCGACACCGUGUGUUGUUGGGUAGGGGAGCGUUCUGUAAGCCUGUGAAGGUGUGCUGUGAGGCAUGCUGGAGGUAUCAGAAGUGCGAAUGCUGACAUAAGUAACGAUAAAGCGGGUGAAAAGCCCGCUCGCCGGAAGACCAAGGGUUCCUGUCCAACGUUAAUCGGGGCAGGGUGAGUCGACCCCUAAGGCGAGGCCGAAAGGCGUAGUCGAUGGGAAACGGGUUAAUAUUCCCGUACUUGGUGUUACUGCGAAGGGGGGACGGAGAAGGCUAUGUUGGCCGGGCGACGGUUGUCCCGGUUUAAGCGUGUAGGUAUGUGUUCCAGGUAAAUCCGGUUCACUUUAACACUGAGGCGUGACGACGAGGCACUACGGUGCUGAAGCAACAAAUGCCCUGCUUCCAGGAAAAGCCUCUAAGCAUCAGGUAACAUCAAAUCGUACCCCAAACCGACACAGGUGGUCAGGUAGAGAAUACCAAGGCGCUUGAGAGAACUCGGGUGAAGGAACUAGGCAAAAUGGUGCCGUAACUUCGGGAGAAGGCACGCUGACACGUAGGUGAAGUGAUUUACUCACGGAGCUGAAGUCAGCCGAAGAUACCAGCUGGCUGCAACUGUUUAUUAAAAACACAGCACUGUGCAAACACGAAAGUGGACGUAUACGGUGUGACGCCUGCCCGGUGCCGGAAGGUUAAUUGAUGGGGUCAGCGCAAGCGAAGCUCCUGAUCGAAGCCCCGGUAAACGGCGGCCGUAACUAUAACGGUCCUAAGGUAGCGAAAUUCCUUGUCGGGUAAGUUCCGACCUGCACGAAUGGCGUAAUGAUGGCCAGGCUGUCUCCACCCGAGACUCAGUGAAAUUGAACUCGCUGUGAAGAUGCAGUGUACCCGCGGCAAGACGGAAAGACCCCGUGAACCUUUACUAUAGCUUGACACUGAACAUUGAGCC